UACGUAGGGUGCGAGCGUUGUCCGGAAUUAUUGGGCGUAAAGAGCUCGUAGGCGGUGUGUCACGUCGGCCGUGAAAACCUGCAGCUUAACUGUGGGCGUGCGGUCGAUACGGGCAUCACUGGAAGUUCGGCAGGGGAGACUGGAAUUCCUGGUGUAGCGGUGAAAUGCGCAGAUAUCAGGAGGAACACCGGUGGCGAAGGCGGCAUCCUGGACCGAGCAUGACGCUGAGGAGCGAAAGCCAGGGGAGCAAACGGG
rnacentral:rRNA from 1 species